UACGUAGGGGGCUAGCGUUGUCCGGAAUCAUUGGGCGUAAAGAGCGUGUAGGCGGUCCGGUAAGUCCGCUGUGAAAGUCGGGGGCUCAACCCUCGAAUGCCGGUGGAUACUGUCGGGCUAGAGUGCGGAAGAGGAGUGUGGAAUUCCUGGUGUAGCGGUGAAAUGCGCAGAUAUCAGGAGGAACACCAAUGGCGAAGGCAGCACUCUGGGACGUGACUGACGCUGAGACGCGAAAGCUGGGGGAGCGAACGGG
rnacentral:rRNA from 1 species